CACGUAGGGCGCAAGCGUUGUCCGGAAUUAUUGGGCGUAAAGAGCUCGUAGGCGGUCUGUUGCGUCCGCUGUGAAAACUCGGGGCUUAACCCCGAGCCUGCAGUGGAUACGGGCAGACUAGAGGUAGGUAGGGGAGAAUGGAAUUCCCGGUGUAGCAGUGAAAUGCGCAGAUAUCGGGAGGAACACCGGUGGCGAAGGCGGUUCUCUGGGCCUUACCUGACGCUGAGGAGCGAAAGCGUGGGGAGCGAACAGG
rnacentral:rRNA from 1 species